rnacentral:rRNA from 1 species
CCUACGGGAGGCAGCAGUGGGGAAUCUUGGACAAUGGGGGAAACCCUGAUCCAGCGACGCCGCGUGAGCGAUGAAGCCCUUCGGGGUGUAAAGCUCUUUCGGCAGGAACGAUCCUGACGGUACCUGCAGAAGAAGCUGCGGCCAACUACGUGCCAGCAGCCGCGGUAAUACGUAGGCAGCAAGCGUUGUUCGGAGUUACUGGGCGUAAAGCGUGUGUAGGCGGCCGGGCAAGUCCGGUGUGAAAUCUCCCGGCUCAACCGGGAGGGUGCGCCGGAAACUGCCGGGCUGGAGGGCGGGAGAGGAGAGCGGAAUUCCCGGUGUAGCGGUAAAAUGCGUAGAUAUCGGGAGGAACGCCGGUGGUGAAGACGGCUCUCUGGACCGCACCUGACGCU